GCCAUAUACUUUACUACAGGAAAAUCUAAGAACUAUACCUAAAUACCCUUUCAAGUAACCACUGUGUCUCUUCCAAAUGGAAUUUUUGUUUACUAAUUCAAUUAGCCUUCAUGAUUUGAAUCGUUAAUUAUUUGUUGAAGUUUUUAUGUGAUAUCCAUGGUUUCAAAUCACAGUGCUUUUGCGGGUAAUGGAAACAGGCCUA
rnacentral:misc_RNA from 1 species